rnacentral:rRNA from 1 species
GGGGGGAACCCGACCGAGCACGCCGCGUGAGUGAAGAAUGUUUUCGGAUCGUAAAGCUCUGUUGUUAAGGAAGAACGUGUGUGAGAGUGGAAAGUUCACACAGUGACGGUACUUAACCAGAAAGGGACGGCUAACUACGUGCCAGCAGCCGCGGUAAUACGUAGGUCCCGAGCGUUGACCGGAUUUAUUGGGCGUAAAGCGAGCGCAGGCGGUUAGAUAAGUCUGAAGUGAAAGGCAGUGGCUCAACCAUUGUAGGCUUGGAAACUGUUUAACUUGAGUGCAGAAGGGGAGAGUGGAAUUCCAUGUGUAGCGGUGAAAUGCGUAAUAUAUGGAGGAACACCGGUGGCGAAAGCGGCUCUCUGGUCUGUAACUGACGCUGAGGCUCCAAAGCGUGGGGAGCGAACAGGAUUAGAUACCCUGGUAGUCCACGCCGUAAACGAUGAUGCUAGGUGUUACGGUCCUUUCCGGGACUAGUGCC